GUCUACGGCCAUGCCACCCUGAACGUGCCUGAUCUCGGAAGCUAGGCAGGGUCAGGCCUGGUUAGUACUUGGAUGGGAGACCACCUAGGAAGACCAGAUGCUGAAGGCA
rnacentral:rRNA from 1 species